rnacentral:rRNA from 1 species
UACAAUGCGAAGCGAAGCAGCGAUGUGAAGCAAAUCGCACCAAAGCCGGUCCCAGUUCGGAUAAGAGGCUGAAACUCGCCUCUUUGAAGUCGGAAUCGCUAGUAAUCGCAGAUCAGCAUGUUGCGGUGAAUACGUUUCCUGGUCUUGUACACACCGCCCGUCAAACCAUGAGAGUCGCCAACACCCGAAGUCCGCUUUGCGGCCUAAGGUGGGGGAGAUGAUUGGGGUUAAGUCGUAACAAGGUAAC